AGUGACUAGUGGUAUUAAUGAAAUAUUCAUUGUAUUUUUACAGCCAGUAUCUUGAAAAUUAUCUCUGGAUGAAUUAUUCUCCUGAGGUAUCUAGCAAGGCCUAUUUAAUGUCCAUCUGCUGUAUGGUGAAUGAGAAAUUCAGAGAAAAUGUUCCUGCAUGGGAGGUAACAUUUAAAUUACUUCAUGGCUUUUAUACUUUGUCCACUUAAACUGUUACAAAGUAGCAGAACUUUUUACAGACAUUAAAUGUGAUUUUAGAGCAGCACUUUACCCAAUAGUAAACUACUAUUAAGAAAAAGAGUAGACAUGUGAAAGAUAAUAUCAGGCUUUUUUUUUUUAUUACAACACUUCUAAUGUACUGUGAACACUACUAAUUUAUACUUAAAAUUAUAAAUUAAAAGUUAUUUAUAUUUGAAAAAUAUAAAUAUGGAGUUAAUUUUCUGCUUUGCUAGAACUGGAAAAUAACAUAAAUUAUAGAGACAUCAGAAGCUGGGAAAAAGUUAUAUAUUAAUAAGUACAAUUAGACAAUGUUCAAAAGUCAAGACAGUUAGCUUUUUUUUUAUUUUUGAGUUUUCUAUUUAAUAUUUUCAAACUGCUGUUAACCACAGGUAACUAGAACCUAGAAAAUGAAUUUGUGAAUAUUGGGAGACCAUGGUACAGAUUCAGAGGAUAUAGAAGAUUUAGAAAGUAGAAUUGAUCUGAUUUGAUAAUUAGUUAAAGUAGCAUUAGGAAAGGGGAUUAUUUUCAAUAAUUUGCCAAACUUGGGCAACUGAAUAUAAUAGAUGAUGGUGUCAUUCCCAAGAUAGGAAAAUGUGUUGAGGAAUACUUUGGAGGGAAUAACACUGUGCAGUUGAGUUUAGGGCAUUGAGUUUGAAUUGCCUUUGAAUUAUCUAGAUGAAUAUUGUAAUAACUAGAUGAAAUUGCCUGGUAGAGAGAGGAAUCUAAAGAUGUAGCAUUAUGGAGAGAAAUCUGUACUAAAGAUGUAUAUUUACAAUCAUUAAUAUAUCAUAAAGUAAUGUGAGAUGGGGACUAAGAAUGGGAACAUUGCUGUUUAAGUAACAAAAGAAGAGAACCCUUCAGUACAGUGAAAAGGAAUUGAUGCUUGGGUUCAGUGGACUUGGCAGCCAUGAUAGUAUCAAGGGAGUGGUAUUUAUUGAUGAAAGUUUGGUUUAGAGAAGUUAAUGGAAACUAGUGUUGGAGCACACAUUUGGAGCACUUGCCUAUUACAGUAAGUAGAAGGGGAAGUAGAUCAAAGAGAUUUGAAUAUAUUUACAUGUUAAGAAAGAAAAGCAUAUUAUAAAGCAGGAGAAACUGCCCCUGAGAUUAAUUACAGUGUGAAAAUUAAUUUUUGCUAAAGGUGUAGUUUCCUUUGUUCAAAUCAAAGGAAUUAAAAAUACUGCAGAUUCUUAAUAAGAAAACAAACUUAAGCUAAAUACAAGCAUAGUUUGCACAAGAAAAACUAAAAGAAUUAGGGCUGGGGAUGUGGCUCAAGCGGUAGCGCGCUCGCCUGGCAUGAGUGCGGCUCGGGUUCGAUCCUUAGCACCACAUACAAACAAAGAUGUUGUGUCCGCUGAAAACUAAAAAAUAAAUAUUAAAAAAAUUCUCUCUCUCUCUCUCUCUCUCUCUCUCUCUCUCUCUUUAAAAAAAAAAACUAAAAGAAUUAAUGACAUUAUCUUACUAGCUAACAAUUUCUGUAAGUUUCUCCUGUCAGAAACCUGUAUUUGAAUUGCUAUCAUUAAUUAUAAGUAAGCAUGUAAUGCCUCUUUACCCAUAUUUAAAUAAUCUUUUUAUUUUGAUUUUGUUAAGAGAUUCCUAAAAAACUACUGUGUUGCUUUAAGGAACAAAAAUGCAUGAAUAAGCCAGUUCAAAGUGUAUUUAUUCUUCUUAUUUUUAUUUUCAGACUUUUAAGAAGAAGCCAGACCACUUCCCAUUCUUCUUUAAGUGCAUCUUGAAAGCGGCAUUAGCUGAAAAUGAUGGUGAAUUUUCACUCCAUGAACAGACAGUCCUAUUGCUUUUUCUUGAUCAUUGCUUCAAUAGUUUGGUAAUUUUACUUAAUGUUUUAGGGAAGGUUUCAUAUUUUCUUGUUCUUCUAGAUUGAGUUUAGAUGUGAUUAUCUUUGUGGCCAUCUUUUCACACAAAAAUGUGGGGAAUAAAAAUAAUGCUAAAAGCUUGAUUUAAAUCACAUCAAUAAAAUAAUUUUAUAAAUUUUGUUCACUUUUUAGUAGUUUAUACUUAAUCCUUUAUUUUUUAUUAUUGUUCACAUUUUUAGUAGUUUGUACUUGAUCCUUCCUUUAUUUAUUAUGCAGACUUUAAGAAAAAUGAUAAUGAGAGCUGAAAAUUCAAAGGGAGAACACAAAAAUUAGAAACAGCGGAGUCUGAC
rnacentral:lncRNA from 1 species